rnacentral:tRNA from 1 species
GUUUUAAUAGUUUAAUAAAAACAUUGGUCUUGUAAACCAAAAUUAAGAAUUUUCUUUUUAAACU